UACGAAGGGGGCGAGCGUUGUUCGGAAUUACUGGGCGUAAAGGGCGCGUAGGCGGCGAACCAAGUCAGAUGUGAAAGUCCUGGGCUUAACCUGGGGACUGCAUUUGAUACUGGUUUGCUUGAAUUCGGGAGAGGAUAGCGGAAUUCCCAGUGUAGAGGUGAAAUUCGUAGAUAUUGGGAAGAACACCGGUGGCGAAGGCGGCUCACUGGCUCAUUACUGACGCUCAGGCGCGAUAGCGUGGGGAUCAAACAGG
rnacentral:rRNA from 1 species